rnacentral:rRNA from 1 species
AUUGAACGCUGGCGGCAGGCCUAACACAUGCAAGUCGAGCGGAUGAAGGGAGCUUGCUCCUGGAUUCAGCGGCGGACGGGUGAGUAAUGCCUAGGAAUCUGCCUGGUAGUGGGGGAUAACGUCCGGAAACGGGCGCUAAUACCGCAUACGUCCUGAGGGAGAAAGUGGGGGAUCUUCGGACCUCACGCUAUCAGAUGAGCCUAGGUCGGAUUAGCUAGUUGGUGGGGUAAAGGCCUACCAAGGCGACGAUCCGUAACUGGUCUGAGAGGAUGAUCAGUCACACUGGAACUGAGACACGGUCCAGACUCCUACGGGAGGCAGCAGUGGGGAAUAUUGGACAAUGGGCGAAAGCCUGAUCCAGCCAUGCCGCGUGUGUGAAGAAGGUCUUCGGAUUGUAAAGCACUUUAAGUUGGGAGGAAGGGCAGUAAGUUAAUACCUUGCUGUUUCGGCGUUACCAACAGAAUAAGCACCGGCUAACUUCGUG